UACGUAGGUGGCGAGCGUCGUUCGGAUUUAUUGGGCGUAAAGGGUCCGCAGGAGGUUUGUUAAAAUUGGGGUGAAAUCCCGGAGCUCAACUCCGGAACUGCCUUGAUGACUGACGAACUAGAGUGCUGGAGAGGUAAGCGGAAUACCAGGUGUAGCGGUGGAAUGCGUAGAUAUCUGGUAGAACACCGAAAGCGAAGGCAGCUUACUGGCCAGCAACUGACUCUCAGGGACGAAAGCGUGGGGAGCAAACAGG
rnacentral:rRNA from 1 species